CCACAUAGUUCAUCCUUCAAUAAAAGUCAGAUCAUAAGGUUUGUUUUUCAUUCAAAAGUGUGAUUUUCAUAAAUGAGAAAAAUGAUUGAUUUCAUCAAGUGCCGUGUCUACCUUGAUGUCUCUUGUAGGUAUUUAGCCAUUAUUAACAUCUGGAAAUAAAAUACAAGUCACCAUGCUACAGUCUCUUUUGAAUAGGAAUUACUGACGUUAAAAACAAACCACUUUGAGCCACUUGGUGGUGCCAUGCCCUUCUGAUUAACUGCAGAACGUUCCCUUUUUUCAACUGGGUUGUCACAUGAAGAGAGCUGGUGACACUCCUCACAAUGAUUACAUUCCAGUGUUUGAAAAAUAAAAUUCCUAAACGAGGGCUGUACAUGGCAUCCGCUUUUAGUUUUAUAGGCUAUAUAAAAAUGUGUUUCCUAAAAUAAAUCAUAAAUAAUAAUUAAAUUCAUUUCUGAUAGAAUAAACAUGUACUUCUUGGGAAUAUCCCCAUGUCCAGAAAUAUAUUAGGUUCUAUUGAGAGAUGCAAACGUAACACAGAACAAAGCUUCAUUCCUGCCUUGAGGAGAUUACCAUCUCAUUGAGCAUCUAAGGCUAACACAAUUAUACAAAAUCAUGGAAAUAAGUGCUGCAACUACAUGGUACAGUAUAAGCUCCAAGUGCUAUUCCAUUUAACCACAGGAUGGGAAUAAUAUGGUGGCUGUUGGGGGAGCCUUAAAAACUGGAGGCUUUGACCAGCUGACAGGAAGGUGUGAGAUGCUCCCGGGGGAUAGUGAGAAAUCUACUUGGGCCAAAGUACAAAAACAGAACCUCUCACUCCCUGGGUGUUCCAGGGAGCAGAUGGGUGAGGGAGAUGUGGAAAUACGGUUGGAUAAAGUGAAACUUGGAAAUAGAGUCCAAAUUUUCAAUGAAUAGUUUAGCUUGGGAGCCACAACUGUUGUUUUGUUUCAUUUUAAAUUAAAAGGUACUGUAGGAAAAAGGGUCAGGUAAGAGUCAUGUGGAUGGAAUGGGGACACCCUGUGGGGAGACCAGCUAAGAAGCUGCUGAAACACCCCCACAUGAGUGAGGAGGACUCCUGACAAGCCCAAGUGCCACUUCACCUCCCUGUGCCUCAAUUUCUUUAUCUGUGAAAUGGCGACAACAGUAACACCUACCACUCAUUGGAGGAUUAAAUGAGUUAACACAUGCAACACACUGAAAUGGGGCUUGGAAAAUUGAGGGCACUCUCUAUUCCUUAGCUGUGUUGUUAGCAAAUUAUUAGAAUAAGGUGCUAACAAUGGAAACGAAGUGAAAGAAGUGACUCAGGAGAGAAGAAACUAUAGCACUUUAUAAACAACAAGGAGGGUGAGCUCCAUUUUAAAAGUCAAAGCUAUAAAACUAUUUCUUUAAAAUAAACAGCAAUCAAUUCAUUUCUGUAAAAUUAGUCUACAUGUGUAUUUCUUUACAUCCAAGACCACAGCAGCAGAACUCCCAGGGGACCCCAAGGCUUCAGCCAUGGUGUCCAGGAGGAUAGUAAGACCCUGAAGCGGGGUGGAGAGAAGCAGAAGGAGAGAAGAUGCCCAGCAUGGGACCUGCUGAGCCCAGUGUCAUGGUGCAGUCUCCAAUUACAGCACAAAACCAGAAGGCAUCCUGUCAGCCAACGGGUCUGAUGGCCGACGGUUCCUUUAUUGCUAUUUGGAGGCCUACAACACAGACCCACUGUGAAAGUGGUCACAGGACCAAAACCCCAAAGAUGGCAAUGAGGCUCUUCAUCGGGAUUAUUUCUUGUGCCUCUUGUUUCUGAAGCGACCCUAUCCGAGAGAGUGCGCUGAACGUGAUGGAUGGGGAUCGUGGAUCGCAGCUGUCAUCAUCUAGGAAAACAUCAUGGCAAGAAGGGGAAAGAACAAGACUUAAGAUCAGAGCCUGAACUUCUGGACAUGGGCACCCUGACGUGAAAGGAGAAAUAAGGAAGGUGCUUCUGCAGGGCGAGCCCCAACACACAGAGGAUGAACUACCUGAUGCAGGAUACACUGUUCAGACACCCAAACCUGGGGUGCAACCCUCCCCACCUCCAUAUUUGUUAAACUUGUGGUAAAAUAUACAUAACACAAAAUUGACCAUUUUAACCAUUUUUUUGUCUAACUGUAAAUAAGUGUACAGUUCAUUGCAUGAAGUGCAUUCACAUUGUCGUGUUAUCAUCGCCACCGUUCAUCUCCAGAGCUUUUUCAUUUGCCUCAAUGCACAUGGAUUCUCAGCAGCCUCGUCAUGUAAGGGGUUUCCAGGCAAGACCUCUCUACUUAUAACACUAAGUGAGCCCUAAAGGCAAAAGAGCCCCGAAAGAGCAUGUGAAGUCCUCCAAACCAGCAUGGAGCUCCAAGACAUCCAGAACAAGAAAAGUCCUAACCCUGGAGGGCAAGGGGAGAGCUAGGAAGGGAAGCAUUCUCCAGGUUUCAGGCGGGUUAGCCAGGGACUGCUUGCCUGCAGAACAAGAGUCUCCACUGUCUCCCCUAGAUCCCCUCCAGCCAUUCUCCUGGUGGAGAGAGACUUCGGGUUUGGCGAGAAGGAUUCCAGUGAUCAAUUGUGCUUGGCUACACAUUGAGGACCAUCUCAGCCUUAUCCUCAUCAUUAUUAUAAUCCUUUUUAAAUGUAUCAUGGUUUAUUAUUUUUCAUAAAUCACAACCACAGAAAUUACAAAUUAUUCACAGUAGAGUUAAUUCCAAGCAAGCCAGAAAUGAGUCUGCAUAUACAGGCAUAAGUUUCCAUGACAAAUAGGAACAAGUAUAUAAAAUCCUACAGACAUACGACCCAUAACGUAUUGCAGAGCACUGAUUUCCCAUCUUUAAAACUUAUUGAAGAAAACUGCUAACAUAAGUGCUAUUUCAUUACUUUUCUCUCAGAUUUCUAGUUUAACCACUCUCUUUAUUCACCUAGCUGAAACUUACAACCAGCCGAGUAUAUAUAAAAGAAAAGAAAUCAUUGGGACUAACAGUUCAUUCCAAGUCUGAAUUAAUUCAUGUAGAACCGACAUUGUGAAGCGUUGUCUUUCUUUCCAAGAACAUCUGUAUUUAUCCAAGUCAAGGCUUCCUUAAGUCCCUAAGUAGUAAUAGUAAUAAUGACUAAUAUUUCUUGCACAUCUACUUGGUUCCAGGCUCUGUUCUAGUGGCUUUAUGUACCUGUUCAUAUGUGUACCCUGCAUGUAUGAGACUGGCUUUGCAUCAGGACAAUACAAUUGCAUAUGGAGGGAACCAAUAUUAUCCUCUUCAUAGACCAGAAAUGACAGUGUGGAGAAGUAGAAUUUUAUUUUUCCUUCAUAUAGACUCUGUCUGUUUUUUUCCUGGCAUUUUAUGGCUUUGACUGAAAGUGUGACUGAGAUGUCCUUUAAUGAGGACAUCUAUUAAAAGGCUAGGAUCCUGUGACCUGUUUAUUAGUCUAGUGAAUCAUGUAUGUAUGUUUCCAAAUGUUAAACGACUCUCAAAUUCUGGAAUAAACCCACUUUGCAAGGUGUAUUGUA